rnacentral:rRNA from 1 species
CAGCCGCCACGGGAAUACGUAGGGCGCAAGCGUUGUCCGGAAUUAUUGGGCGUAAAGAGCUCGUAGGCGGUCUGUCGCGUCUGGUGUGAAAUCCCGAGGCUCAACCUCGGGCUUGCAUCGGGUACGGGCAGACUAGAGUGCGGUAGGGGAGACUGGAAUUCCUGGUGUAGCGGUGGAAUGCGCAGAUAUCAGGAGGAACACCGAUGGCGAAGGCAGGUCUCUGGGCCGCAACUGACGCUGAGGAGCGAAAGCAUGGGGAGCGAACAGGAUUAGAUACCCCUGUAGUCCUGUCUCUUAUACA